rnacentral:rRNA from 1 species
GACGAACGCUGGCGGCGUGCCUAACACAUGCAAGUCGAACGAAGCAUUGGAAGCUUGCUUUUGAUGCUUAGUGGCGGACGGGUGAGUAACGCGUGAGCAACCUGCCUUUCAGAGGGGGAUAACGUUUGGAAACGAACGCUAAUACCGCAUAACAUAUCUGAGUCGCAUGAUUGAGAUAUCAAAGGAGCAAUCCGCUGAAAGAUGGGCUCGCGUCCGAUUAGCUAGUUGGCGGGAUAACAGCCCACCAAGGCGACGAUCGGUAGCCGGACUGAGAGGUCGAACGGCCACAUUGGGACUGAGACACGGCCCAG